rnacentral:tRNA from 5 species
GGAGAGAUGGCCGAGCGGUUGAAGGCGCACGCCUGGAAAGUGUGUAUACGGCAACGUAUCGAGGGUUCGAAUCCCUCUCUCUCCGCCA